rnacentral:lncRNA from 1 species
CCUGUUUCAGGAUUGUGCUCUUGUGUGACUACUUGUUUUACUCUAAAAAUAUACUGAGUAAGUCUGUUGUGCAGAUUUCAUAUGAGAUAUGGAUCGGGCAUAGACCUAGACUCUCUCACCUUUGGGUUUGGAGUUGAUCGGCCUAUGUCAAAGGUUUGCAUACAGAUAAACUUGGUUCAUGGUCCAAUAGGUGUUUAAGGGUUACUAAUUCUAUCAUGCUGAAGAACAUAAGAUGCUCAUC